AUGCCAGCUCAGUGAUCAAUAAAAGUAUUUUCUGUUUUCGGCGUAAUUAAAACCAUGGACGUUCCAUCGGAAUUCAGAAAUCCUGGUAAAAGGAGACCAAAGAAAGGAGGCACCAAACCACAGCUGUAUGAAGACACAAGCAUGCAGCCACCUCCUUCAGAGUAUGGUGCUCAUCAUGGGCAAGGCUACAACCCCUCAGGUUAUGGAGGACCCCCAGGUGCCGGACAGUUUCCUGGGGCCCAGUAUCUCAAUGACCCCAUGGCGAACAUGGCCAUGCAGUAUGGACAGUCUUUGGCAGGCCAAGGCACGGACUUCGUCCACAAAAACCUUGAAAAAUAUGUGUCAACGUCUCGGGUGAAGUAUUAUUUUGCUGUAGAUACCACAUACGUAAUGAAAAAGCUGGGGAUGUUGUGUUUUCCUUUCACCCAUUCUGACUGGUCAAUAAAAUUUAACCAGGAUCAGCCAGUGGCCCCUAGAGAUGACAUCAAUGCUCCAGAUUUAUAUAUACCAUCCAUGGCAUUUGUCACAUACAUCCUCAUAGCUGGAGUGGUACUGGGAACAUACAAUAAAGCAGCUUGGGAUACAGACAAGCUCUGCAUUGGUGUGGCUCAUCUUAGAAUUACUUAUCCUAAACAUGAGCCUCUACAUCAUGAACCUAAAAACAGAUCUAAAAUAUCUAGAUAUUGUAGCAUAUUGUGGAUACAAAUUUGUGGGAAUGAUAGUGUGUUUAUUGGCGGGAAUGGUAUUCCAGUCUACAGGGUAUUACAGCACCUUGCUGUGGUUCAGCAUCACAAUAGCUUUUUUCUUGGUCCAAACUCUGCGAGUCAAGAUAUUGCCCCACUCAGAAGACAGCAACUACUCCCGAGGGAGCAAACGGAGCCUCUAUCUUAUCCUCUCCAUAUCCCUCCUCCAGCCCGUGAUGAUGUGGUGGCUAACGGGAUACAUCAUGUUCACAAAAUGAUGCUCUUUCAGGCAUAAAUGGUUGACUUGUUUACUUCAUGACAUGUAAUGGUGAUCUCGAAUUUUUUGCGAGAAACUUUGUAUGGUUUUGAAAUUCUUAUGAAUUAGGAAUUGGUACUGUGGAUAUGUGAAUUGUGCAAAAGAAAUUGUGAUUGUGUGAGGAUGUAUAUGGGAUUAUAUUUGCUUAAUUUUAUGUUGAUAUACAUGUAUUUGUGCCAAAGUUGUACAAUGAGUGCAUGAUGUAAGAUUAAAUACAUAUUGCUGCA
rnacentral:misc_RNA from 1 species